GUAUUAAUUUUUGGCUGUUUUUCUUUGGAAAAACAGGCAGAAGAUAUGGAGUUUCCCUCGCAAGAGGGUGCUUUAAAAUAGAUUGCCUUUGUAUUUGUUGGACUCGACGAAGUUUUUCAAAACCCGCAGAAAAGUAUUUGAAUGGAACCCUGGUUUCUCUUGAUGCUGAAUAUGCAGGCGAAAGAUGGAGUUUCCUUCAGGCAAAGGUCCAUACCUAUAAGUCAGUCUUAGGACUGGCUUGAA
rnacentral:misc_RNA from 2 species